AGGACGGGCUGUCCACGCCCCUGUGACGUCAUAGGCCCCAGGUCCUUGUGACCAGCAAGGCUGAAGGCCAGGCACUUCUCUAAGCAAAUCGCAGCCAGGGGAGUAAACACGACAUUCGCUCUCGGGCCAGCGAGGAGUGCAGGGGCCUGAGCACUUCCGCCGGGGGGGUCACGAUGCGAGGCCACGGCCAGCACACAGUCUUGUCUUCAAACAGGAAGGCGUGCCUUUCCUGCAGGCGCACCUGCAGCCGACACGCAGCGGUGGCCUCCCGCGGACGGGACUGGAUCCCACAGCACACCCCAGCAGGUGGCACCACCACGUUCAUGGAAACACGGGGAGCUUAGGCCCGGCUCUAACCUCCAGCCCCGGAAGCGCGCACAGCACCCGCCCACGGGGAACCGGGUCAGGGUCUCGCAGCACGGUGGGUCUGAGAAGGGGCGCGCCCCAGGUGCUCCUGCCGCGGGGCCUCCGUUCCUCCCUCCCUGACCCCUGGGACUUCAGGACAGCCUGUGGCACGUGCGUCUGCGGAUUCCCAAAUCCCUCGACCGCGACGCGCACCUCUGACUCCCACCUUCUCUGAGCUUCGGCAGAGCCCCCAGGAUCAGGGCAGGCACGGGACAGGGAGGACGCGUGGGAGGUCACGCGUGGAAACCGCAGUUAACGCAGCCCUGCUCGGCGUCGCUCGAGGCCUGGGCCGACCACACUGGCACCGGAGCGAGGAAGCGCCGGAACCGGCUGCAAGCCCUGACCCGGCUCGGUCUGGGCGGGGCCUGAAGUCUCACCGGUUCCCACAGGCAGGUGUCAGCGCCACAGGGCCACCCUGGCAGCAAGGCCGGCACACACAGGGGCUGUGCCUGUGCACGGCUUCCGCGUGCGGCCACUGGCUAAGCGCCCAGGACGCUGCCCCAGGUGCCGCCCGGGGGGACACUGACCGCUGUGCGAAGCCUCGCACUCGGCAGCAGCGGUGUCCUGACCUCCCCAGCGCGGCCUGGCGUCUCUCCAGGGCUGCAGAGCCAGCCAGAGCCAUCGCUCACACGGAAGCAGCCGCGGGGACGGUGAGCGGUCGCCUGUCCUGCCCUGCUGACCGUGACAUGCUACCUCCGAGAACGGGCUGUGCAACUCCCGGUCAGCGCCGGGCGCCCAGAGCUCGGUCCCUCGAGAACACACGGAGGCCGGCGAGAG
rnacentral:lncRNA from 1 species